rnacentral:rRNA from 1 species
GCCCAGACUCCUACGGGAGGCAGCAGUGAGGAAUAUUGGUCAAUGGCCGAGAGGCUGAACCAGCCAAGUCGCGUGAGGGAAGACGGCCCUACGGGUUGUAAACCUCUUUUGCCGGGGAGCAACGGGCGCCACGUGUGGCGCCACUGAGAGUACCCGGAGAAAAAGCAUCGGCUAACUCCGUGCCAGCAGCCGCGGUAAUACGGAGGAUGCGAGCGUUAUCCGGAUUUAUUGGGUUUAAAGGGUGCGCAGGCGGAGGUGCAAGUCAGCGGUCAAAUUGCGGGGCUCAACCCCGUACUGCCGUUGAAACUGCAUCCCUUGAGUGCGCGAGAAGUAUGCGGAAUGCGUGGUGUAGCGGUGAAAUGCAUAGAUAUCGCGCAGAACCCCGAUUGCGAAGGCAGCGUGCCGUGCCGCCACUGACGCUGAGGCACGAAAGCGCGGGGAUCGAACAGGAUUAGAUACCCUUGUA